rnacentral:misc_RNA from 1 species
GUGACCUGCGGUAGGAUCAUUGUCGGUUCUGGCCCCUGAAUCGUGCAGGGGAGGAGGCGAGGGAGGCAGGCCGAGCUCGUCUCCUUCCCGACCCUCGCCCUCGACGAUGUGUGGACGGUUGGGCCUCGCUGCAUGGCUCGGCCCCGGGUUCCACACCGUCGGCUCGAGGUGAUCGAAUGCCGUGAUCGGGUGCGCACGCCCUUUUCGGGAGAGGCCGAGUCUCUAUCCCGUCGAGUUCGCAUGCCCCCGAUUGCGCGCGCGGCGUCGUCCCGGCGAUCCGUCGGUUCUACGAUGGGAAGUCGGGACUGCUGCAACCCCCCGUUACGUCUCCCAGGGGAACAACAUGUCGCUUGGAGCGUUCCCCGCUGCCGACGAGUGCACUCUCGAGCGAUCGCUCGUGGUGCAGGACCCAUCCUCCGACUGCAGGGUUCUCUCGAGGCGGCAUCCCUCUUUGUGCGAUGCAACGGGGCGGGGACACGCACCCUUCCAGUGCCCCCUUGCACUGGCGGAAGGUUCGUGUCAGACACCCUACAUCGGUGCGACCCGCACCAAGAAUUCCAAAACAUUGAAGCGUGGCCCAGGCGCCUUUGUGCGCUUGGGUCGCCAGAAAAAAAAACAUGAAUAAGAUAAAAACACGACUCUCGGCAACGGAUAUCUCGGCUCUCGCCACGAUGAAGAAUGUAGCGAAAUGCGAUACUUAGUGUGAAUUGCAAAUCCCGUGAAUCAUCGAGUCUUUGAACGCAAGUUGCGCCCGAGGCCUCGGCCGAGGGCACGUCUGCUUGGGCGUCGCACUCCAAAAUCGCCCUCCCGCACGGAGGAGCGGAGAUGGCCGUCCGUGCUCGCCAGCGGCGCGGUCGGCUGAAAUGAGCACGAGGUCCCUCGCCCCGUCGCGACGAGCGGUGGCCUAUGCGGGUCGGCGUUGGUUUGUGCGGGUCGAGCGAGGCCAAGUGUGGAACUUCAACCGGGCCACAGCGGCCUGCCAGCGUGUGGGUAAAAUGUGCUUGGCCCC